rnacentral:rRNA from 1 species
AUCGAACGCUGGCGGCAGGCCUAACACAUGCAAGUCGAACGAACUCUUCGGAGUUAGUGGCGGACGGGUGAGUAACACGUGGGAACGUGCCUUUUGGUUCGGAAGAACUCAGGGAAACUUGUGCUAAUACCGAAUGUGCCCUUCGGGGGAAAGAUUUAUCGCCAUUAGAGCGGCCCGCGUCUGAUUAGCUAGUUGGUGAGGUAACGGCUCACCAAGGCGACGAUCAGUAGCUGGUCUGAGAGGAUGACCAGCCACACUGGGACUGAGACACGGCCCAGACUCCUACGGGAGGCAGCAGUGGGGAAUCUUGCGCAAUGGGCGAAAGCCUGACGCAGCCAUGCCGCGUGAAUGAUGAAGGUCUUAGGAUUGUAAAAUUCUUUCACCGGGGACGAUAAUGACGGUACCCGGAGAAGAAGCCCCGGCUAACUUCGUG